GCCAAAAUAGCAUUCACCUGCAUACACAUCUGCACCUCCUUUUCCUAUUCUUGAAUCUAAUUUCCAUUCGUGUGAGCGAUGAGAUCUAAAACAAAAGUAAAGAGGAAGAAGGUGCAGGUGUAAAUGCAGAUAAAGGCAGCAUCUUGGC
rnacentral:pre_miRNA from 1 species